rnacentral:rRNA from 1 species
UACGUAGGGGGGCGAGCGUUGUCCGGAUUUAUUGGGCGUAAAGAGCGUGUAGGCGGCCAGGUAGGUCUGCUGUGAAAACUCGAGGCUCAACCUCGAGACGUCGGCGGAAACCAUCUGGCUAGAGUCCGGAAGAGGCGAGUGGAAUUCCCCGGUGUAGCGGUGAAAUGCGCAGAUAUCGGGAGGAACACCAAUGGCGAAGGCAGCUCGCUGGGACGGUACUGACGCUGAGACGCGAAAGCGUGGGGAGCAAACAGG